AUGGAGGCCGGCGCAGGUGAUGGAGGCUGGGGAGGGCGCGGGGCGGGGAGGGUGGUGGUGGUGGUGGGGGGGGUCCCCUCUCUUCUCCUCCCCUCCCCGCACAGCCCCCGCUCACCGCCCGCUCUCUCCCUUCCCCGCCAGGUCGCUGAGGCCGCCGGCUGGCCCUGCCGCCCCGCACCGCCGGGGGGGCUCCGUGCAGGUGAGCAGGGCGGGGGGCGCCGGGGGGCCGGGGGCUCCCCCCCCUCCUGGCUGCGGGAUUGGGGAUGGGGAUGGGGACCCGCACCCCGGGGGCUGCCAGCGCCCAGCUCCGCAUCCGGGGGGUUCGGAGGGGGGGGGUUAAGGGCAGAGGAUGCUCGGGGCGGGUCACGCGUCAGGCCCGCAGCACACCCGCAUCGCAUGCAGCAGACCCCCGCGGCACGCACCGGACACACGUCACGCUCGCCGGACCCGCAGCACACGCACUGGACCUGCAUUGCCUGCACCAGCCCCCCGGGGUGGGCACCAGAGCCGCACCGGACCCACAGCACAGACACCGGACCCACAUCCUAUGCAGCAGACACGCUGCACACACCCACGGCACGCCACUGGCAUCGCAUCGCAAGCGCUGGACCCGUGUGGCAUGCACCAGACCCCCACGGCAUGCAUCAGACACACGUCGCGGUCACCACACCUGCAUUGGAGCCCCAUCGCAUGCACCAGACCCACCUUCCAUGCACCGGACCCAUAUGGCAUGCACCAGACCCCCAUCGCAUGCAUCAGACCCCCAUCGCAUGCAUCAGCCCCCCAUCACAUGCACCAGACCCACCCUGCAUCCCCCAGCCCCAUACGGCACGCUCUGGACCCCCAUCGCACGCACUGGACACACCCUGCAUGCACCAGACCCUCCCUGCGUGCACCAGCCCCACAUCUGCUCCCUACAGAGCCCAAACGUUUCUCUCAGCUCUGUGGGGCGUUGCAGGAGCUGGAGCUGCUGUGCGAUUGCGAUUUUAUUACUUAAUGGCCUGUAGCUCCGUCUCCGAAGGGAUAACAGAGAACGCACGAGCUGAUUGA
rnacentral:lncRNA from 1 species